GAUGGUUCUCAGGUGACGUGCCCCGGAACCGGGCCCCCUCCUCUUCUCUUCCGGGUGCAUCACCCGAGAACCACA
rfam:Myotis brandtii contig263714, whole genome shotgun sequence.